GGCUGGUUAGCUAAGUUGGUUAGAGUGUGGUGCUAAUAAUGCCAAGCUUGCAGGUUUGAUUCCUGUAUGGGCCA
rnacentral:tRNA from 1 species